UACGUAGGUGGCAAGCGUUGUCCGGAAUUAUUGGGCGUAAAGCGCGCGCAGGCGGCCUUUUAAGUCUGAUGUGAAAUCUUGCGGCUCAACCGCAAGCGGCCAUUGGAAACUGGGAGGCUUGAGUACAGAAGAGGAGAGUGGAAUUCCACGUGUAGCGGUGAAAUGCGUAGAUAUGUGGAGGAACACCAGUGGCGAAGGCGACUCUCUGGUCUGUAACUGACGCUGAGGCGCGAAAAGCGUGGGGAGCAAACAGG
rnacentral:rRNA from 1 species